CGGCGCGUUGCGGCGUGGCUCGGUGGAGAAGGUGGUGUAGCUGGCUCAGGUGGCCCUGCUUCCCUGGUUGGCAGUGGAGACCGGCAGUCCCUUGUGUUCAUUGUCUGUGGAAAGAGUAUUUCAGAGUGGAGUUUUUAUCAGAGAGUCCUAGCUGGAGGUGACUCUUCAGAGUUGUAGGAACUGAAUUUUGAGCUACAGAUCAGCCUUAGUUGGAGUUGAAUUCCUCUCCACUCCUCACAUUCUUUUGGGCAUCUGAUGGCUAAUCUCUCAGAGGGGUUGGCAACUUGGAGAUCUCCCGCCAGCCCUUCAGACUUUUAAUUGUUUGGGCCUUACAAGGCCUUUGGCCAGCUCUGGGAGCUCUGCUGUUGAUGGCUGCAGCCCAAGCUGCACUCAAGGAGAAGAUCCUGCAGCUGAAACAAUUCCUGACCAUUCUGCACAGGAAGAUGCAUACCUGGGUGAGGGAAUGUCAUCCAGAAAGCAGUGAGAAGGCAAUGACUUUGGUGCAGGAUUUGGAGUGAGAACCUGCGAUGCCAAGGCAAUUGCCCAGAGCCAACAUUUGGAUCGUGAAUGGGAAACCCUGCAUGUGAAGAAGCAGAGAGGAGACAUCAAGGCUCAGCAGGCUGCAGAGCACCUGUCUCUGAAUCUGGAUGGCUGCUCUGAGGAGGCGACAUUUGGCCCAGAUGGGGAAGAACGAUCUGAGAAAGGCAAGAGAGCAGUCCAAUCGGCAGACCUUCCCCAAGUGUCCUGAGACUCUAGGAAAGGGCUUGGUUCCCCCAGAAAGGCCUGGGCAUAGAAGUAGACCCUCACAGCCAGGAUGUUUUGUUUUUAAUCUCCUCUGCCACUGGAGAAACUCGGGAGCUACCAUAGCUACCUGUGUGUGUGAGCACACACCUGACUCUCACCUUUCCCUCUCCCCAUCCGGCCACUGCCUGUCUCUGUCUCGCCCUAGCACUAGCUUCUCCCCCUCUCCCUUAUCCUUCAUGUCCUCGCACUCUGUCCCGCUGCUUUUGGUCUCACACUCCCUCCCUUGCUCUUGCUUGCCUUGUCACACAUGCUGCCGUCCCUGUCACAAGGCCUGACUCCCCUGCUGCGUCUUUCUUUCAGUCUCUGCCUGUGUCUAUCUUGCCUGCUCUGGCUUCCCAUUGAUUUCCUCCUUUCCUUCUAUCUAAAAGUCUCCCCACUCCCUCUGUCUCCCUCCCUCUUGGAUUCUUUCGGUAUCUCUGAACAACUGAACACAUCCAUCUGGACCUAGAGGGAAGGUGGAUCCUUACCCAGUGAGACAUGUCUGUCCUCCUGUGCAGCACCCCUGUGGAGCACCCUCUGUGCAGGGCCAGCGUGCACCCCAUCUUGCUGACAGAGAGAUAUGACUCUGUGCUUACACGUGGCUGGUCCCUGUAACAACACCAGGGCUGCUGCUACAGAUAAACAGCACUGCUCUAGCCUGGGGUAGGGGCAGAGACAGGACCACAGUCAUCAGAUCAGGGGCAGUGCAAAGGCAGGGGGAGAUCAGCCCUCCGUGGGAAGGAUCGGGAUGGGUUAAGAGCCAUGUGAUGAUGUCAGAGUGGACAGAAUACCUGACAAGCUCAGUGGACUACAUAAAAUCUUUAUAAUGUCUUUAGAAAAGAAGGGAUUUCAGUGUGAGACUGAGUGCUAAGGUGAAGUGGGAACUUCAAAAGAAGCCGAAGGCAUCAACCACAGCUCACCCGGGACCCAGCUGUCCAGACCAUCAUACCUGUCUCCUGGGCUCGGAGACCCUUCUUUUCGGGCAGAUUCCUAGGAACUUGAGGCGCAAGCCAAGCUGGGGAAGAGAAUAGUCACUAUUAGAGGGAAACUUCUGCAUAACAGCCACAGAAAAGAGGUUCUCAAAGUGGGCUCCCUGGGCCAGCCACAUCAGCAGCACCUGGGAACCUGUCAGAAAUGCAAAUUCUGGGGCCUCACCUCAGAUCCUCUGAAUCAGAAGCUCUACAGGCAGGGCCUGGGAAGCUGUGCUUUAACAUGCCCUCUAGAUGAAUCCAAGGCACGCUCAAGUUUGAGAACCACUGCCAUAUCCAACGGCCUCUAUGUGUUGAGAAGUUCCUUUCACUAGAUUCCUCUUGGCAUAACAGCUUUAAAAUUUUUUUUUUCAUUUUAGAGAAAUACGUACAUGUUAGAGGCAAAAAAUUAAAUGAAUAAUAGAGGGGGGAAAAAAUCUCUCCAUAGCCCCACCACCCAGAGAUAACCAUAGUACUCUUAAAAACACCAUAGUAACUGAAACCUUUUAUAUUUUUCAGAACAAGAUAAUAUAUUCUUUCUGAAACCCCCAAUUUUAAGAAUCCUACAAAUGAAAUGAUACAUUUUUAUGACGUAUUAAUUGAACUUCAGCAUAGGCUCAGGUAUGUGACUCCUGGGGCGGUUAUAACACUCCAGAUCUGUGAGCGGCCUGUGGGCGUGGGGAGCAGAGGGAGCACUGCGAGGCUGCCUCCCUUCACUCACAGUGGCCACUGGCCCCAAGCCUUGGAAAUCACAGGUCAGAGAGCACAGGUAUUCCCGACGAUUAAAAGGAAAUAAACACUAAAUGGCAAAAUUUA